GAGGUUUGACAGGUCUAAACUAAAUUAGGUUUAUUUGUCCUUUUCUUAUUACAUUGGUAAGAAAAAGAUGUGACUACACUAAAAUUUAGUUUCGUUCAGACUCCGUACC